rnacentral:tRNA from 2 species
GGGGGCGUAGCUCAGCAGGUUAGAGCGCUGCCCUGUCACGGCAGAGGUCGCGGGUUCGAGUCCCGUCGCUCCCG